GUACAUUAAAAUGCCCAAAUGUACUGCAAAUAGCCAAUUUGACUGGCUGCCCAUGAAAACUCUAGGGUUAUAUCAUAAAGGAGAUGUUAACGUGUUUUAAUGAGGGGUUAUCAUAACAUCAGCAAAGUUUCCUCAAUAUUUUUGUGAGCAGAGCAACCAAUUUAUUUAAAAUCAUCAAAAAUUAAAUAGCCUUUUGAGAGUCACACAGAAGUUGCUCUUUCUGGUUUUAGCCCAGGUUAGUUUGAAUUGCAUUUAAACUUGCUUCCAAAAGGGUGAAUAAAAAAAAUAAAAGAAUCAGGUAUUUUUCCCCUUGUAGCUUUUCAGACUUUAGAAAGUUGGGAAAAAGUAUAAACCCACCCAUCCGUGUCUGUUCUGGGAUGGUAAUCAGGUGAUCUCGAACAGAACAUGUAUCCAAGGUGUGUGUUUGUAGAGUUUAUGGUGAGAAGAAGCUAUAACCGUGUGUGUCCUUGCUUGCGUCUCCCUCCCUGUGCAUUGGUCAGGGUGAGGUGGAGCAGAUAGCCAUGAUGAAGCCCAAGGGGCAGACGGAGCAUGAUGAGGGCAUGAUGGAAUACCUGGAGGACAUCAUUGCCGCCUGAAGAGGUACUGUAGCCUUGGUCUUCCUGUCAUCAUUUUGCGGACCAUGUGUUACAGCUAAACAGGGUCAGAAUGGUGGAGAAGACUUGCUCUGGAGGGAGUGAAGAACACAGCCGUGGAGUUCCUCACUCUGGAGAAUGAUAUUUUCAAACAAAAGAGCCAGCUCUGCUAGUACUGUGUCCAUGACUUCCAGAAGAGUGGCAAACAAAGAGGAGGAGAAGCAGAGGAUCCAAGACGACACCAAGGAACUCAGAGAAGAACAACAACAUCGCUGAAGAGAUGAAGAAGUAGGCCUUUCUAUUUAUUUGUUAUUCAUGGGUUUUGUUGCUUACAUGGAAAUUGACACCAAAGGGACACAUUUAUGAGCAAAAUAUAGUCCUAAUGUAAAAUGAAUGUCAGUCUAAAGUGCAAUAAUGUUAUGAAAUGGAAAAAUGUUCAUGGACCUGCUGGCAACCAGUGAUACAGAAAAGCAAAAUUAGCAGUAAUUUGUUUGAUUGCCAUUCAUAAUGUCUAUGUUGUGAUUUUUCUCCCAGGAAACAAGGCAAGCUGACCAAGUACAAAGAGUUCCAGCAGGAGAAGUU
rnacentral:lncRNA from 1 species